rnacentral:rRNA from 1 species
CCUACGGGUGGCAGCAGUGAGGAAUAUUGGUCAAUGGGCGCGAGCCUGAACCAGCCAAGUCGCGUGAGGGAAGACGGUCCUAUGGAUUGUAAACUUCUUUUGUCGGGGAGCAAAAGACGCCACGCGUGGCGUUCUGAGAGUACCCGAAGAAAAAGCAUCGGCUAACUCCGCACCAGAAGCCGCGGUAAUACGGGGGAUGCGAGCGUUAUCCGGAUUUCUUGGGUUAAAAGGGAGCGCAGGGGGAAGAUCAAGUCAGCGGUAAAAUUGAGUGGCUCAACCUCUUCGAGCCGUUGAAACUGGUUUUCUUGAGUGAGCGAGAGGUAUGCGGAAUGCGUGGUGUAGCGGUGAAAUGCAUAGAUAUCACGCAGAACUCCGAUUGCGAAGGCAGCAUACCGGCGCUCAACUGACGCUCAUGCACGAAAGUGUGGGUAUCGAACAGGAUUAGAUACCCGGGUAGUC